AGUCUUUUAGUAUAUGUAGUAUGGUUGAUUUCCAAUCAAUAGGAUUAAUGAUUAA
rnacentral:tRNA from 1 species